GAUGAACGCUGGCGGCGUGCCUAAUACAUGCAAGUCGAGCGAACAGACGAGGAGCUUGCUCCUCUGACGUUAGCGGCGGACGGGUGAGUAACACGUGGAUAACCUACCUAUAAGACUGGGAUAACUUCGGGAAACCGGAGCUAAUACCGGAUAAUAUAUUGAACCGCAUGGUUCAAUAGUGAAAGACGGUUUUGCUGUCACUUAUAGAUGUAUCCGCGCUGCUUUAGCUAGUUGGUAAGGUAACGGCUUACCAUGGCGACGAUGCGUAGCCGACCUGAGAGGGUGAUCGGCCACACUGGAACUGAGACACGGUCCAGACUCCUACGGGAGGCAGCAGUAGGGAAGCUUCCGCAAUGGGCGAAAGCCUGAAGGAGCAACGCCGCGUGAGUGAUGAAGGUCUUCGGAUCGUAAAACUCUGUUAUUAGGGAAGAACAAAUGUGUAAGUAACUAUGCACGUCUUGACGGUACCUAAUCAGAAAGCCACGGCUAACUACGUG
rnacentral:rRNA from 1 species